rnacentral:tRNA from 1 species
GCGUUCUUAGCUCAGCUGGAUAGAGCGUCUGGCUACGGACCAGAAGGUCGGGGGUUCGAAUCCUCUAGGACGCACAA